rnacentral:rRNA from 1 species
UGGGGAAUAUUGGACAAUGGGGGCAACCCUGAUCCAGCGAUGCCGCGUGGGUGAAGAAGGCCUUCGGGUUGUAAAGCCCUUUAGGUUAGGAAGAAGUGUAUGGGAGGAUAAUGCCUGUACAUUGACGGUACUAACAGAAUAAGCACCGGCAAACUCUGUGCCAGCAGCCGCGGUAAUACAGAGGGUGCGAGCGUUAAUCGGAAUUACUUGGGCGUAAAGGGUGCGUAGGCGGUAAUAUUAGUGUGAUGUGAAAGCCCUGGGCUUAACCUAGGAAGUGCAUCACAAACGGUAUAACUGGAGUAUAUGAGAGGGUGGCGGAAUUUCCGGUGUAGCGGUGAAAUGCGUAGAGAUCGGAAGGAACGUCGAUGGCGAAGGCAGCCACCUGGCAUAAUACUGACGCUGAGGCACGAAAGCGUGGGUAGCGAACAG